UACGAAGGGGGCGAGCGUUGUUCGGAGUUACUGGGCGUAAAGGGCGCGUAGGCGGCGAUCCAAGUUAGGCGUGAAAGCCCCGGGCUCAACCUGGGAAUAGCGCUUAAGACUGGAUUGUUCGAGUGCGGGAGAGGUGAGUGGAAUUCCCAGUGUAGAGGUGAAAUUCGUAGAUAUUGGGAAGAACACCAGUGGCGAAGGCGGCUCACUGGCCCGCAACUGACGCUGAGGCGCGAAAGCCAGGGGAGCAAACGGG
rnacentral:rRNA from 1 species